rnacentral:miRNA from 2 species
AGUCCAUGGUAUUCAGUUCUCU